CAGAUGGAGAGAGGAAACUGUAUGAGAGAGGGAAUGGGAAGGGGACUGGGGAAGGUUCAGGAUUAAGUGUGGGGAGAGACAGAAGAGAGAGGGCCAGAGGGCUGGCCGAGAUAAUGAAUGAAAAUUUGCAGCUGGUAGAGAUGGGGGUGGGAGGGCAUCUCUAGGAUGUACUAGAGAUGUGAGAUGGGAAAAACUACCAGGAGUCUAGAAGGUGUCUUUAGGGGAGACUUGUAGCAUACAGAUUUGAAAUCUGAAGUGGCCAUGUCUCAUAGCCAGGCAGAACCCCUAGUGGAGAGAUAAGGACACCAACUCACCCACAAGACUUUUGACUGAAAAUUUGUCCUGUCUACAAUAAAUGUAGGGAAAAAUAUAAAGCAGAGACUGGGAGGAAUGGCUAAUCAAAAACUGGCCCAACUUGAGACCGAUCCCAAGAGCAAAUACCACCACCUCCACCCCUGGUACUACUAAUGAUCACUCUAUUAUGCUUGCAGACAGGAGCCUAGCACAACUGUCCUCUGAGAGGCUCCACCCAGUAACUAACUUAACCAGAUGCAGAAACCCACAGCCAAACAUUGGACAGAGCUGGGCGAUUCUUAUGGAAGACCUGAGGUCUGGCCUAAGUGAAUCUUCUGCUGAGAAUCUUACAUGCCAGCAUGUCUGAUAUCAACAAGUACUAAGGACUUCUGAGAAGUGUAUGUGUUCCACAUGAAUUCUCCCCCAAAAUUGAUACAUUGAAGGCAUUGAUUCUCAAUGUAGCAAUGUUCAUAGGUAAAGAUUUGGGGAACGUGUCUAAUUGUAACAGGAAGGGGCCUGAAUUCAUCAACAAAUGUAUCCAUAAACGCAUUUAUAACAGUACCACUUUUUAAACUGUGGUAGAUGUUAGUAGGUCUGCUUGGAUGAAGAUAGUAGUCACUGAGGUAAUGUACUGGAGAAGUGUAUUCUGUUCCUAGCUUCUUUCUUCCUGACCAUAAUAUGAUCAGUUCCACUAUACCAUAUCAUUCAGAUCUGCAACCCUAUAGGUGGAACAACAUUAUGAGCUAACCAGUACCCCGGAGCUCUUGACUCUAGCUGCAUAUAUAUCAAAAGAUGGCCUAGUCGG
rnacentral:lncRNA from 1 species